UCUACCGAUCUAAUAAUAAGGUAUUUACAUGUACCCUACCAAUAUGGUAUUAUUUUAAAUUCAGCUUAAAUGAAAAACUUGUAAGUUCACAAAUUUUUGGAGUUCUUUUAAAAUUUGAAUUUUCAACUGUUAGCAUAUAACAAAUCCUUAUCCAAACCUGAUCCCAAUGCUGGAUGUUC